rnacentral:rRNA from 1 species
UACGUAGGGGGCAAGCGUUGUCCGGAUUUAUUGGGCGUAAAGAGCGUGUAGGCGGCUAGGUAGGUCCGUUGUGAAAACUCGAGGCUCAACCUCGAGACGCCGGUGGAAACCAUCUAGCUAGAGUCCGGAAGAGGAGAGUGGAAUUCCUGGUGUAGCGGUGAAAUGCGCAGAUAUCAGGAAGAACACCCGUGGCGAAGGCGGGUCUCUGGGCCGGUACCGACGCUGAGGAGCGAAAGCGUGGGGAGCGAACAGG